AUCGAGCUCAGGUUGAACAGUUGUUAUGCUACAUUAUUGAAGAACCACCAGAAGAUGCUGAAAGCAAACGAACCUUCAAGUAAGUACUGCGAUUGGAGCAA